rnacentral:rRNA from 1 species
UUGGAGGGCAAGUCUGGUGCCAGCAGCCGCGGUAAUUCCAGCUCCAAUAGCGUAUAUUAAAGUUGUUGCAGUUAAAAAGCUCGUAGUUGAAUUUCGGGAUUGACACAUCGGUCGUGCCUUAAGGGGUAUGAACUGGUGUAGUCAAUUUCUCACCUUCUGGAGAACCACGAUGCCCUUAAUUGGGUGUCGCGGGGAACCAGGACCUUUACUUUGAAAAAAUUAGAGUGUUUAAAGCAGGCAUUUUGCUUGAAUACAUUAGCAUGGAAUAAUAAAAUAGGACGGCAUGAUUCUAUUUUGUUGGUUUCUAGGAUCACCGUAAUGAUUAAUAGGGAUAGUUGGGGGCAUUAGUAUUCAAUUGUCAGAGGUGAAAUUCUUGGAUUUAUUGAAGACUAACUACUGCGAAAGCAUUUGCCAAGGAUGUUUUCAUUAAUCAAGAACGAAAGUUAGGGGAUCGAAGACGAUCAGAUACCGUCGUAGUCUUAACCAUAAACUAUGCCGACUAGGAAUCAGACGAUGUUAAUUUUUUAAUGACCCGUUCGGCGCCUUACGGGAAAC